UUGUAAAAAAAAGAAAUGUUCAGUGCAGCGGCUCUCAACCUGUGGGCUGAGACCCCUUUGGGGUCGAACGACCCUUUCACGGGUCGCCUAAGACCAUCG